rnacentral:sRNA from 1 species
AUUGAAGAUGGAGGCAAGGCAGCUUUGUCCCAGAAGAUGAGGACUGGUGAUGAGCUGGUGAAUAUCAAUGGCACUCCAUUAUAUGGCUCCCGCCAAGAGGCCCUCAUUCUCAUCAAAGGCUCCUUCCGGAUUCUCAAGCUGAUUGUCAGGAGACUAAGUUUACUGGCCCCUGGUAUAAAGCAUUCUCCAAAAAGAAGACCUUGAGGCUCUCUCUAAAGCUUAAAAAGACUGAAAGAGAACCAUCGUAGUCUACAAGUGAGAAUGGAUAAAAAAUCACAGAAUAUUUAAGCCAAC